rnacentral:tRNA from 1 species
GCGGGCGUAGUUCAAUGGCAGAACUUCAGCCUUCCAAGCUGAUAGAGUGGGUUCGAUUCCCAUCGCCCGCU